rnacentral:rRNA from 1 species
ACGCUGGCGGCGUGCCUAAUACAUGCAAGUAGAACGCUGAAGCUUGGUGCUUGCACCGAGCGGAUGAGUUGCGAACGGGUGAGUAACGCGUAGGUAACCUGCCUCUUAGCGGGGGAUAACUAUUGGAAACGAUAGCUAAUACCGCAUAAAAGUCGACAUCGCAUGAUGUUGACUUGAAAGGUGCAAUUGCAUCACUAAGAGAUGGACCUGCGUUGUAUUAGCUAGUUGGUGAGGUAACGGCUCACCAAGGCGACGAUACAUAGCCGACCUGAGAGGGUGAUCGGCCACACUGGGACUGAGACACGGCCCAGACUCCUACGGGAGGCAGCAGUAGGGAAUCUUCGGCAAUGGGGGCAACCCUGACCGAGCAACGCCGCGUGAGUGAAGAAGGUUUUCGGAUCGUAAAGCUCUGUUGUAAGAGAAGAACGAGUGUGAGAGUGGAAAGUUCUCACUGUGACGGUAACUUACCAGAAAGGGACGGCUAACUACGUGCCAGCAGCCGCGGUAAUACGUAGGUCCCGAGCGUUAUCCGGAUUUAUUGGGCGUAAAGCGAGCGCAGGCGGUUAGAUAAGUCUGAAGUUAAAGGCUGUGGCUUAACCAUAGUACGCUUUGGAAACUGUUUAACUUGAGUGCAGAAGGGGAGAGUGGAAUUCCAUGUGUAGCGGUGAAAUGCGUAGAUAUAUGGAGGAACACCGGUGGCGAAAGCGGCUCUCUGGUCUGUAACUGACGCUGAGGCUCGAAAGCGUGGGGAGCAAACAGGAUUAGAUACCCUGGUAGUCCACGCCGUAAACGAUGAGUGCUAGGUGUUGGGUCCUUUCCGGGACUCAGUGCCGCAGCUAACGCAUUAAGCACUCCGCCUGGGGAGUACGACCGCAAGGUUGAAACUCAAAGGAAUUGACGGGGGCCCGCACAAGCGG